rnacentral:rRNA from 1 species
UACGUAGGUCCCGAGCGUUGUCCGGAUUUAUUGGGCGUAAAGCGAGCGCAGGUGGUUUAUUAAGUCUGGUGUAAAAGGCAGUGGCUCAACCAUUGUAUGCAUUGGAAACUGGUAGACUUGAGUGCGGGAGAGGAGAGUGGAAUUCCAUGUGUAGCGGUGAAAUGCGUAGAUAUAUGGAGGAACACCGGUGGCGAAAGCGGCUCUCUGGCCUGUAACUGACACUGAGGCUCGAAAGCGUGGGGAGCAAACAGG